GGGGAGCACUGCUGUGGAGACGAGAGG
rnacentral:piRNA from 1 species